GUAUUGCUUUGGCAAUACAUGUACUAAAAUUGGACCUAUACAGAGAAGAUUAGCAUGGCCCCUGCACAAGGAUGACACAAACUCGUGAAGUGUUCCUCAUGUUU